rnacentral:rRNA from 1 species
UUCGCCCUUAACGCGAAGAACCUUACCAAGUCUUGACAUCCUCCUGACAGCUCCGUAAUGGGAGCCUUCCUUCGGGACAGGAGAGACAGGUGGUGCAUGGUUGUCGUCAGCUCGUGUCGUGAGAUGUUGGGUUAAGUCCCGCAACGAGCGCAACCCUUAUCUUCAGUAGCCAGCAGUACGGCUGGGCACUCUGGAGAGACUGCCAGGGAUAACCUGGAGGAAGGUGGGGAUGACGUCAAAUCAUCAUGCCCCUUAUGACUUGGGCUACACACGUGCUACAAUGGCGUAAACAAAGGGAAGCAACCCCGCGAGGGCAAGCGAAUCCCAAAAAUAACGUCCCAGUUCGGAUUGUAGUCUGCAACUCGACUACAUGAAGCUGGAAUCGCNAGUAAUCGCGAAUCAGAAUGUCGCGGUGAAUACGUUCCC